rnacentral:rRNA from 1 species
CGGGGAAUUGCAUUUGAUACUGCCGUGCUUGAGUACUGGAGAGGCAGGCGGAAUUCCAGGUGUAGGAGUGAAAUCCGUAGAUAUCUGGAGGAACACCAGUGGCGAAGGCGGCCUGCUGGACAGAUACUGACGCUGAGGUGCGAAAGCGUGGGUAGCAAACAGGAUUAGAUAC